UACGUAGGGUGCGAGCAUUGUCCGGAAUUAUUGGGCGUAAAGAGCUCGUAGGCGGCUUGUCGCGUCGGAUGUGAAAGCCCGGGGCUUAACCCCGGGUCUGCAUUCGAUACGGGCAGGCUAGAGUUCGGUAGGGGAGAUCGGAAUUCCUGGUGUAGCGGUGAAAUGCGCAGAUAUCAGGAGGAACACCGGUGGCGAAGGCGGGUCUCUGGGCCAUUACUGACGUGAGGAGCGAAAGCGUGGGGAGCGAACAGG
rnacentral:rRNA from 1 species